rnacentral:rRNA from 1 species
UACGUAGGAUCCAAGCGUUGUCCGGAUUUACUGGGUGUAAAGGGUGCGCAGGCGGACUUGUUAGUCAGAGGUGAAAUCUCACGGCUCAACCGUGAAACUGCCUUUGAUACUGCGCGGCUAGAGUGCUGGAGGGGAGACUGGAAUUUACGGUGUAGCAGUGAAAUGCGUAGAUAUCGUAAGGAAGACCAGUGGCGAAGGCGAGUCUCUGGACAGCAACUGACGCUGAGGCACGAAGGCCAGGGGAGCAAACGGG